rnacentral:rRNA from 1 species
UUUUCUGUAGCAAUACAGGGAAUGGGCGCACGGCGCACGGGUGAGUAACACGUGGGCAACCUGCCCUUUGGAUGGGGGAUAACCCCGCGAAAGCGGGGCUAAUACCGCAUGAUAUUCCGAGGACUUCGGUCUUUGGACUCAAAGCCCGCAAGGGCGUCUAAGGAGGGGCCCGCGCCCGAUUAGCUAGUUGGUGAGGUAACGGCUCACCAAGGCUAUGAUCGGUAGCCGGUCUGAGAGGAUGGCCGGCCACACUGGAACUGAGACACGGUCCAGACUCCUACGGGAGGCAGCAGUGGGGAAUAUUGCGCAAUGGGCGAAAGCCUGACGCAGCGACGCCGCGUGGGGGAUGAAGCUUUUCGGAGUGUAAACCCCUUUCGACCCGGACGAAUGACCCGCAAGGGUUUGACGGUACGGGUAUAAGAAGCCCCGGCUAACUACGUGCCAGCAGCCGCGGUAAUACGUAGGGGGCCAGCGUUGCUCGGAAUUACUGGGCGUAAAGGGUUCGUAGGCGGUGCGGCAAGUUGGGAGUGAAAUCUCUGGGCUUAACUCAGAGGCUGCUUUCAAAACUGCCGUGCUCGAGUGCGGGAGAGGCCAGUGGAA